UACGUAGGGGGCAAGCGUUGUCCGGAUUUAUUGGGCGUAAAGAGCGUGUAGGCGGCUAGGUAGGUCCGUUGUGAAAACUCGAGGCUCAACCUCGAGAUGUCGAUGGAAACCGUCUGGCUAGAGUCCGGAAGAGGAGUGUGGAAUUCCUGGUGUAGCGGUGAAAUGCGCAGAUAUCAGGAAGAACACCUAUGGCGAAGGCAGCACUCUGGGACGGUACUGACGCUGAGACGCGAAAGCGUGGGGAGCAAACAGG
rnacentral:rRNA from 1 species